rnacentral:rRNA from 1 species
GAUGAACGCUGGCGGCGUGCCUAAUACAUGCAAGUCGAGCGAACAGAUAAGGAGCUUGCUCCUUUGACGUUAGCGGCGGACGGGUGAGUAACACGUGGGUAACCUACCUAUAAGACUGGAAUAACUCCGGGAAACCGGGGCUAAUGCAGGAUAACAUGUUGAACCGCAUGGUUCUACAGUGAAAGGCGGCUUUGCUGUCACUUAUAGAUGGACCCGCGCCGUAUUAGCUAGUUGGUGAGGUAACGGCUCACCAAGGCAACGAUACGUAGCCGACCUGAGAGGGUGAUCGGCCACACUGGAACUGAGACACGGUCCAGACUCCUACGGGAGGCAGCAGUAGGGAAUCUUCCGCAAUGGGCGAAAGCCUGACGGAGCAACGCCGCGUGAGUGAUGAAGGUCUUCGGAUCGUAAAACUCUGUUAUUAGUGAAGAACAAAUGCGUAAGUAACUGGGCGCGUCUUGACGGUACCUAAUCAGAAAGCCACGGCUAACUACGUG